AACGAACGCUGGCGGCAUGCCUAACACAUGCAAGUCGAACGAGACCUUCGGGUCUAGUGGCGCACGGGUGCGUAACGCGUGGGAACCUGCCCUUAGGUUCGGAAUAACUCCCCGUAAGGGGUGCUAAUACCGGAUAAUGUCUUCGGACCAAAGAUUUAUCGCCUUUGGAUGGGCCCGCGUUGGAUUAGCUAGUUGGUAGGGUAAAAGCCUACCAAGGCGACGAUCCAUAGCUGGUCUGAGAGGAUGAUCAGCCACACUGGGACUGAGACACGGCCCAGACUCCUACGGGAGGCAGCAGUGGGGAAUAUUGGACAAUGGGCGAAAGCCUGAUCCAGCAAUGCCGCGUGAGUGAAGAAGGCCUUAGGGUUGUAAAGCUCUUUUACCCGGGAUGAUAAUGACAGUACCGGGAGAAUAAGCUCCGGCUAACUCCGUG
rnacentral:rRNA from 1 species